rnacentral:lncRNA from 1 species
CCAUCCAUCCAUCCAUCCAUUCUUCCAUGGAUCUAUGCAUCUGUCCACCCAUCCCCUCAUUCUUUCAAUAUUUAUUGUGUAGCUAUUAUAUGUCAGACAUUCUUCUUUACUCUGCAUAUAUGAAAGAGAACAAGGCAUGAAAUUCCUGUUCUCAUGGAGCUUCUGUUCUACAAGAGGAAGGGAGAUCAUAAAAAUAGUUAACACACAAUACGAUAACUUCAGAGAGUGGUAUGUGCUCUGAAAGCCGUCCCAUUGGGCAACAGUACAGGGAGUGACCAGUGACAGGUGGGCAGAGUUGAGGAGGGCUUCUUUAGCGAAGGUGAUCAGGGAAAGCCUUGCAAAGGAGAUGAUAGUGAGACUGAAGUGAAAAGGAGACAGUCACAUGAAGGCCUGGGCAAGGGAGAACAUUCCAGGCAGAGGGAGCCACAGUGAGCUGAUGUCACUGAGGAGCCUCCAGCUAAGCAGCAGCUUGGAGACAGAGGGCCAAGCAGAGGCGAAUCAGACAAAAGCACACUCAAAUCUUGGCUCAGCCCUUUAGUAUCUGUGGGACAUGGAGAGAGGUGCUAACCUUCCAAGCUUUUACUUCUCUAUAUGUGAAAUGGAGACACUAAAACCUCACUCAUAGGGUGGGUGAAAAGAUGAAGUCGUAUACAGAGCAUGGUCCUUGGCAUGAGGUAGCUUAUCAAGCCCAGAUACUUCCAAAUCCUUCUGCCAAGUGAAAGUCAUCGUGCUUCUCACAUCAGCAUCCUAAGACAGGCAGGAAGAUUGAUCACCUUGCUUCUGGUAACCAGUUUCAGACUGACAUGUCUGCAUGAUUCCACCUUCAUUCCAUAUUUUAAAAAUGCACCAUGUACUCCCUUUAUUAAGCAUGUCACCCAGCUCUAGUUACUGUGAAACUAGAAGGUCACAGCUCAGCUCUGUGCUCAGAAAUAUGGCACCUGUCAGGUGCAUGAUUUAGGAACUUGGCCUUCCUCAGUGGGACCUCAGUGUAGUAAAAUCAAGUCAACGAUUCAAUCCAUGGCUGCUGAUAAAGACUGGGAGAAAUAUGAAGCUGCUGUCUUAGCAAUACACUUUUCAUUAGUGAACUUUUUUAGUAAGAUGACAUUGAAAUCCACCCCCCCAGCCUGGUUUCCAAAUAGCUCAGCACUGUAACCUGAAUAAGACGUGGUGACUCUGCUGGACAAAGACCAAAAGCCUUGCGAGGGUGUGGGACAGACAACAGGAUACAUCAGUGCAGUUGGCUCAGUUUUGCAAGGUUAGACUUCUCUCAUUUGAUUUCACUUACCUCUGGCUAUUUUCCUUUUCUUUGCCAGAGGAACACUGGCAAAUGUUUAACAUCUGAUUCUCUGGAGGUGGGGAAAGCUUGAAUUAAUAGUGUUUGUCUAAUUCCAUGAUAGAAGUAUUUCCAAUGUGGCCAGUUUCGAGUUACUCCCACGAUGUCACUGAAUGCACAGCUACAAAGAGAUGGUAACAACUGGCCCCUGCAAACUGCUAUGAAUUGGCUCUAGGGCAACACUGCUACACCAUCUCCCUACGAAUAACAGGGAUCCCCUUUGUGGGGUUGGACACUGUACAUAUGUAGCUGGCACUACAUGCAUGAUAUUUCAUAUAAUCUUAACUAUCAUUGUUUGAGGCUGGGAUUACUAUUGCCAUUUCAGGGAUGAGAAUAGCAAGGCUCAGAGAGAUUGUGUAGCCAGCAUCGGUUCACAUAAUUAGCAGGCAGCGAAGUUGGGAUUUGAAUACUGUGGGCACCUUUCAUGUGGCACACUCCUCCCCACUCUGAGUCCUCCUCUUUCUUCCCUGGGAAUGAGUAGCUUGCUUCCUAACAAGCUCCAGGGCUCCAGUGUCCCCUGGAUCCUCCCACAGUGCUCUUUUGCACAUGGACCCCUCCACUCCCAGUUCAGAAUGAAGUCCAGUUUACUUAGCUUGGCUCCAGGGUGCAGCCUGUACUUCCUCAUCCAAUCUCUCUACUCUAGCAAAAUGGGUUUCCCCACGGUCCCUAGAUGUGUGUGAGAUGGUUGACCUUCUUGCAUUAUCAGCUUCUCCUUAUUCCACUUAGAUGCAACGAUCUCAUUCAAACUCUGUCUUGUCCUGCUAGUCCUGCUAGCCCUGCUAAACCACUUGAGCCCCUGGAGUCUCUUCCUCCCUGGAGCUUCUACAGCAUUCCUAUCUGGACCAUUCGCCAGGUGGUUAACACUGGAAACAAAAACUAUGUUGUUUGCUGGUUUGGAUUUCUUACAGCUCCCAGGAGACCACAAGCUACUUGGAGGUAGGACCAAGUGGUGUACAUAACGACCAGACAGCCACAAAGAGUCCCUUGCUCAGACAGGUGUUCAGCAACUCUUCCCAGAGCAAAACAUGCCUGUCUUGCCCACUGCGGAGUAACUGCAAGGCAGCGCACUGCUCCUCUGGGGUCUCAGACCCAAUGGCAGCCUUACAAGAAUAAACUCAAGCUGUUUUAAAAAAUAUUUUUAAACAGCAAACCUCUCCUCUCUAAAUGACAUUUAAUUGCUUCAAAGAUCAAGAGAAGGCAACUUCUUUGUGGCUGGGCGUGCAAACAACCUGCGUUCUUCAGGGCUCUGGGUAUGGGUUACAAGAUUCAUCGUGACUCAAUUCUCCAAUCCACUGAGUUUUGGAGGACACAGGCAGUGUGUCACUGCAGAUGGACUGCCAACCCCCAAUUAAACUGUUCUGGAUGGCUACUGGUGGUGACCUUCAGGUGACAUUGGUCAAGCCUCAAAGGAGUGUGGCCACCCAACCCUAGCAGAGUUUGAGUGUGCCAGGUGCUCAUUACUGAACCCACUUCUCAGUCUACAUCAAACAACCAUGCUGGCCAGAAAUGGUGUGCUGAGUUCUGACGAUACAGAAACACCACACUACUGAUGAUACAGGUGCAUACAUGAAACCUCCUGGUGGCAGGAAGACUCGUUCCUGAGGGCCUGAUGGCUCCCACACCGAGGAAUGCUCUGCCAGAGGCCAGUCCAUUUCAGGCACAGUUAUAACCCACUCCAUAAAGGUUGUGCCAGGGAGAAAAUUAUGACAGGACCUUGCUUGAAAGAAGAGGCAGUCACAAGGCCCCAUGGGGCUUACCUUCCAGGAUGGACUGGCCCUGGGUUUGGGAUUGCAUCAAUUUCAUUUCUGGCUCUCAUGAGUCGGAUUCCCUCUUUUCUCAGAGUAUGGAAGCCAGUGGAGCGUGGCAAAGGUGUCUGGCACCCUGUCUUUGCUGCUUCCUGUGAAAACGAGAUGGUCUGCCUGAAAUGAUACAUUGGCUGUUUCAUUUCUGGGCUCCCCUUGUGUCUUUUUUUUUUAAAGACAGAGACGGGGUCUCACUAUGUUGCCCAGGCUGUCCUCGAACUCCUACGCUCAAGGAAUCUUCCUGCCUCAGCCUCCCAAAGAGCAGGAUUAUGAACGUGAGCCAUUACGCCCAACUUCCCCUAAUCUCUUGUGCUUGGCAUAAUGCUGGUAUGCAGUAGGUGCUCAAUAAAUGCUGACUUGGGUGUAAUAUUGAUGAACUCCAAAAAGCUUACUGGAGAGUGUGUGCAUGUGUGAGUGCACAUGUGUGAAUGUGUGUGCAUGUGUGUGCAUGAGUGCAUGUAUGAGUACUUGCAUGUGGGUGCAGAUGUGGGAGUGGUGUGUGAAUGUGUGGACAUGUAUGUGCAUGAUGUACACAUGUGUACAUGCACAAGUGUGUGAACGUGUGUGUGUGUGUGUACGUAUGUACUGGAUCAAGGUCAGGCAGAGCUGGCACUCAGAUGACCACCAGCACCCCGGUCCCAAAUUCGGCAGCAGCAACCAUUUGGUGCCUACCCUGUUCCCUUCUCAUUUAGUGCCAUCUUCACCAACCCGCCAGGAAGACAAGCUUGAUUCCAUCUUGAAUAUGAGGAAAAUGGAGGCUCGCUGAUGUGCAGUAGCCCUUGCAAGGCCUCACAGUGUGUGCAGGGAGAUGUAGAUUCCUACAGUGGAGUCUGACCCCACUGUCCCCUAUGCUGCAGUGCCUUCUGGGCAGAUGCCAGGCAUCAGACCAGGGAAAUUCUGCCCCACAGUGAGUGGGGCCAACUGACGCUGAUGUGAGUGUAUUCCAUAGUGGCUGUGUGUGAUGGAGAGGGAGUGGGAUUGGUACUCAGGGGCUUAAGGAAUGGCAUCUGGUAUAAUGGUAUCUGAGGACAUGGCACAGAACAUGGUAUGCCACAGCCUCCUCACCUUAUAAUGGAAGUAACCGUGCAUACCUCCUAGCGUCACCGUGGGGGUUUAAAUUCUUACAUGUGAGGUGUGUAUAACUGCACGUGGUAUGCAGGAAGCGCUCGGUAGCUACGCUCCUAGUACAUCCUCAUAAGCGAACACUUACUAAUCUAGUUGUUGUGCUGGAAAAUGUGGCGCUGGAAAAGACCUGGAGCUUGACCAUGACACAGACAUUCAGGCUACGGAUCCUGUGUCCACCGUUUACUGAGAGGGCCGUGGGUGAGUGACGUGGAGUGUGGCGUAACCUCCCCAUGUCGCCCUCUCCUAGUGCAGAAAUUGGAGACAGUGGGGGAUCCCUCACAGGGUUGCUGGGAUGACUGAAUGAGGUAAUAGACUUCACAGAUCCCACAUAGGGUCUGGUACGCAGUGGUCCCUCAACAGUGGACAGACAUUAUUAGGAUCUGGUCAUAUUCUGAGAACAAAGCUUGACAAGUUCUGGAAUCAAAUGUCAUUGUCAAAUGUGCCUGCUCAAUGCAAUUCUACUUGGCUACUGGACUCUCUGCAAUAAUUUGUCUGAAAGAGAGGCAGAAGCCCCCAAGAGAUGAAUGGGCUGGUUUUAAGGAGAGAAUGAUUUUAAGAGGCAUUGAGGGUGCCCUGGAAGCCAUCCCCCUACAGUGCAUAUCAGGCCAAAUGCACCUGUCAGCACCUGCAUUCCUUUGCCAGAGAACUUGCACCAGCAGCCAAAGGCCUUUGCUCAUCUAUGCAGCAGGCUGAAUGCGAUGAGAAUCAGCACCUCUCUCAGGAGCAACCCUCACCCAAUGACUGGGGUACUUAUACCUCAGCUCCCUUGCUCCCCAUGAGACAAGAAGAAUACAGGGUGGUCAUAGAAGAAUAGAAAAUUCCAGGCAGUAGUUUCACAUGAUUAGCAAAAGGAAAAUGUUGAAAUAGCUGCAGAAGCUAGGGGCUGAUAAGACCCUGAAAAAACAAGAGUGUGGGCCAAGCUGGCUAAGACCAACUGGACCCAUCGUGGUGGUGGAUUUCACUUAGGUUUUCCCUAGGACCUCAAUAUAUGCUCGUUAACAUACUAUAUCACACACCCACCGGCACCUCGAUGGUUCCAGGAACACCCAUAUUUGGUGCAAAAAUGGGUGACACCUCAGUUAUGAGAAAUCUCCACCUUUUUCCAGGAAUCUUCAUGAACAUUCCACUGCUUGGUUAAAGAAAUCCAUAGAGGUAGCAACCCCAAUCCCCCUUGAGAGCGAUUCCUUCACUCUUGAAAACGCUCACACUCACCUUUCUUGAGUGUAUACUUUUUGCUUUGCAAUAAACCAUACUUUCACUAUUUUCUGACUCAUUCUUGAAUUUCUUCUCACAGUCAAGAGCCUGGACAAUGACUGGGGUCAAGGACUCACUGGCGUUUGGGGACCUCCCCCAGCCUACGAUAUUACUUGGAUGGAAUAAGCCCAGGAGUGUGUUCCUCUGGGAUUCAGCUCCUGUACGCAUAGUGGUGGCUGGAUGGACAAUGCAGAGUGUGUGGGCUGUGUUCCUCUCCUGUCCCACUUCCUGCUCUCCCGCUGGUAUUUUAUGGGAUUUUCUGCCAACUAAACUAUUUUCACCCUAACCCUUGUCUCAGCAUCUGCUUCGGGGGCAAUCCAAAGUAAGACUGUCCAAAGUAAGACAGUCACAGUCAUGUUAAUAGAAUUCCCACCAGACAGCGGUUGAUUGUUCCAGAGGCCAAUGCCCAGAGCAGCAGGAAGUGACUUCAUCAAGCCAGAGUGGUGAAUUAGUUCCAGUUGUUUUUCCUGAGCCUCUCAACAACAGGAGAGGCAAGCAGAGCACAGUAGGAACUGAAUGGGGUUUGCGUGAAAGAAAAAUCCAGGGAAAGGUGUCCUGCAGAACGUGCACGGACCUGACCCGAGUCUAAGCUUGUAAGGGGCUUGGUGCAUGGGAGUUGGAGAACCAUCUCGGUGUUCAUAUUCUGGCAUCGAAAUGAGAACAUGAGUGCAUUUUAUUGUAUCUUUGAGGCAACCCUGGAGGCUACACCUUGAAGAGGCAGCCUCAUGAAAUGGAAGGUGCCAAGGAUCUCUGAACGUUAUGGAGCAGAGCCAUCCCACCCCACCAUCUGCAGUUCGACUGUAAUAGGAGUGAGCAAUGUAGUUUUGUGUUAAGCCAUUGAGAUUUGAGGGGUUAUCUAUCACAGAAGCUAUUAUUACUUAUCCUAACUAGCACACUCAUGAGCAAUUACAAAAUACAGUGUGAUGGAAGCUAUGCCAAGUGAGUACCAAGGAGGGUAUCCAAGCCUCUGGAAUACGUCAGAUUUUUGUAUUACACCCCAAGGAAAUGAUGAGGAAAGGUUCUUAGCACAAGGUAUAUUUGGGAUGAUUCUUGACAGAUUACAAUAAUAGUUAAUAUGUAUUGGGUUCUUUCUAUGUUCCAGACACUGUGCUAAGAGCUUUGCUAGAUUAGCCUAUUUAAUCCUCUAGGUAUUAUCUCCCUUUACACCUGGAGAGAAUGAGGUCUGGAGAGGUUAAGUAACUUACCCAAAGUCCCACAACCCUCAAUGGCAGAGCUGGACAUCAACCUCAGUGUUACUCUGCUGCCAGCAAAUACGCAGACAUUAGCCAGGCAGCUGUUAUUUGGAGGGAGAGAGGGCAGAGGAAGCAAACUGGGCAGAGGCACAGAGAAGGGCUGAUGUGCGAAAUACCUAGCAACCCAGUAGCAGGAGUGCUGGGCAAUUGGUGGGUGCUGACCGUGGUGCUGAAGUGGGGCUGGAUCGUAGUAACGUCCUGAGGAAGAAGAGAGGAUAAGGGCGCAGGGGUUGUUGGGUGGCGGUCAGGGUAGAAACCCUAGCACAGAGGCAGAGAAGAACCUGACACAUUUGGGGAACCACCAGAUGUUGGCAAAGGCAUGCAGAGACUCCAGGGUUUUAGUUGUAGCUCAAACAGAUAUAGCUUCAGUCUCCCACACGGCGAAAGCAUGUUCAGUCAACUGUGCCAAGAGGACAGCUGUGCAUGGGGUACGGCCUACGACCGGAUGUGGCCUCUAUGACUGGCACACAGAGUGCACCGCAUGGAUACGUGUGGACCGAAUGAAAUGAUGAAGGAAACAUACAAAUAUGUCAUUUAGAAAAGAAAUGAAUUGGGAGCGCUGCAUCCAUCAUCAGACUUCUUUAUGCAGCCACCCGAUGGCCCCAUUCGGCUGCCCUCUUGCUUUUUCUGUUCCUAAACAUCCUGACACUGAGUCUCUCAUCUUUUCAGGGACUGAGAGUUUUAUUCUGGCUCAGUCGUUUCAGCCAUCACAGAAUUAAGUAAUGACAAAGUGAAUUAUCAUCCAGCCCUGGCUUCGGCAAGGAAUGUAACCUGCAGCCGAGAUCCCUCACUGCUGGAGCACUCACACGACUGUCUAGGUAGUGACAUGAAAAAUGUCCCUAGAAUCCCCCAGCUCAGGGCCAUACAUCCUCAGAGUCUCGACUCCACACUUGGUGGGGAAGAAUGUUGUUUUAUUGAGAAGGGGAAGAGGGUGUAAAUAGAUUCCUCUUAAACAUUACAUUCAUCCUUGUUAAUCAAAAAUUAGUAGCUCUUAAAAAAAAUAAACACAACUCAGCUCCCCAGGAAGCUGAUAGUAGUUCCCGUGGCCCGUUUAAUUACACAAAAUGAAACAAAACAUAUUCCUCUACUCCUCGCCUGUGGAAUUAACAAAAUGAAAUAUAAUGGUGGCCAUAUCUGGGCAGUGGGAUUAAAGGUGAUUUUUAAUUUACUUCUUUAUGCUGCUCCAUGUUUGUUAAUUUUUUUGUGACGAGCAUGCAUUGCUCAUAAAAAAGUACUUCAAUGUGUAAAAAAAGGAAAUAUGGGAUUGCAUUCCCAAAACCUGUAAACAAAAGAAAUAUAUGUACACCUGUUGCAACUUUUUAGCAGUUCACCUGCCCAUUCUCUGAUCAUUCCCCAAGAGGAAGGCCAUGUUUUCCUGAUUCCCACUCUGUCCCUAACAACAGUGCCUGGCACAUAGUAGGUGCUUAUUAAGCAGCUGCUGAGGCAACUGAAAAAUAGCUAUUUUUAAUCGGGAGAAAAAUGGCUAUUUAACAACCAUGGGUUUCUAAAGACAGAGAGCCCUUUUGGUCUUCUGGCAUGUUUCCGUCUGUUAAAAGGGAAUCUGAAGUUCUUUCGAGGUGGGGACUGCAUAGAAUUGAAUCUUUCUGCAGAAGGUCUUUGUCUCUGUGUAACUGGUGACACAGGUGACAACACGGAUGAAUCCCACAAUAAUUGUGCUGAGCAGAAGGAGCCAGACAAAAAAGAGGGCAUACUUUAUGAUUCAAUUUAUAUGAAGCUCUACAAAAUGUACACUAAUCUACAAUGACAGAAGGCAGAUCAGUGGUUGCCUGGGGCUGAGGUAAAGGAAAGGAGGGGCAGAAAGGAGGAUGCCAAAGGAGUCCAGGACGUUUCUGAGGAUGCUAGACACAUGCACGAUCUAGAUCACGGUGAUAGCGUCAAGGGAGUGCACAUAUGUCAGAACUCAUCAACUUGUGCACUUUUGCAUGUCAAUCACAUCUCCAUGGAGCUGUUUAAAAAGAGAAAGUGCAGAGGAGAGGGAGAAAUUGGAGAGAAGAGUCCCAAUAUGUGCUGAGGCUGGGUACAUGCUGGGAUGAUGUGCCUUGUGAGAAAUACAGACGGAUGGGAUGCUGAGAAGGAUGGAAAAUCGAGGGCUUUCCAGGGUCUCAGGUUGAAGUUGUUUGAUGUGAUGUGAUGUAACUGCCCUUUCCAUGCCUCUAAACAUCCUCAGUGAGUUAGAUCACAUGCAACCAAUUCUGAUGACAGUGAGUGUGUGUGUAUGUGCGUGUGCACAUACACGUGUGUGUGCAUAUGUGUGCCAAGGGAGGACUGGGGAGAAGGGCGACAUGGGAUGCCACAGGCUGGCACAGGCAGGAGAUUGAGACAGCUAAGAAAUGGAACUAGCUUGCAGAAGUGGAAGCUUGAAGCCAGAUGUGACCUCUGGAAAGUCAAGGCUUCCUUCUCCAAUCCUCUGGAAUUUGCAGAAAUCUUGGGAAGCCUCUGGGCUGCUACGGGGCAUGCAGUCAGGACUUAUCAACUUAUCACAUAUUUAUUUAGUUCUCAAAGGCAGGCAGAUCCCAGCUGACAUCUGGAUGCUGCUCCCACACUCAGUGGCUGUUUGUUGAACAAAUGCAGGAAUAUUAUUUUGAUUUGUUGACAGAAAAACAACUGGUGCUAUUUUGAAUAUUGGCAACAGGAGGCAGAAUGAUGAUGAAUGGGCUGCCACUGGGGCUUAGGUCACCUUUCAUCUGGUUAGCAUGUUUCACAAUGCCCGUGCUUUGGGGGCCAUGUCUUAUAAGUCAUGCAUUUAGCAAACAUUGGCCGAGGGCUUGUCACGGGGCAGGCACUACACAAGAUGUUGAGAGGAAACCACUGGAUGAGAUUCAGGCCUUCCCCUAAAGAGCUCGCAGCACAGAGUAGAACACACACAAAUGAAGAUACCAUAAUGCUGGUAGGGGUGUACCAUGGGGGUUGGCAAACUAUGGCCCAUGGGCCAAAUCUGGCCCUCUGACUCCCUGUGUCAACACAGUUCUAUUGGAACACAGCCAUGCCUAUUCACAGAUGUGGCAGCUUUUGGAUUACGAUGGUCGAGUUGAGUAGCUGAGACACAGAUUGUGUGGUCCAUAAAACCUAUAUUGUUUAUCAUCUGGCCCUUUAUAGAAGAAACUUGCCAACCGUGCUCUAACAGAAGACAAUACAGGGCAAGACGCUGGACUGAAGUAAGAAGGUUGGGGUUACUGACCCGGCUUGUUAGCAAACCCAGCUCUCAGUGUUCCAGGCUAGAUCAUAAGAUCAGUUAGGGCUAAGCAUCCUCCUCAUACCGCCUGUGUGAGUUAGCAAGAAGCAGAAUGGACUUCCAAGAGCAGCCCCUGUCUGCCCAGGAGGAAGCACAAAACAGAUGCUCCUGGCCGCAUCAACUUUCCAAGAAAGCAGUGUCUUGAGAGCCUCAGCACUGGGAACCAGGCAACACCAUCUCCCCAUGGUGGCCUCAGGGAGGUUCAUCAAAGCCAACGGUGCCUAGUCAGUGACACUGGGAGAAAGUAAAGAAACAGAAGCAGUUUCUUGUAUCUUUUUAAGCCCAAAGGGGAGGCCCAAACCAAGGAAGUGCAUCAAAUAAUAAUUAAGUGAAGAUAUUUAAUUAGCAUUCAUUUGCACUCUUUAUAUUAAAGUCAGUCCCUGAUGGAAAUCCUUUGUUAUCCUUUGCAAAGACAUAUUAAAUAUUAACUCCUGAACAGGACACACUACAGUCCUGUACAGUACAGCCUGGUUAAAAACUGUCUUUGGAAAUAAUUUAUUUGCAAUUCAUUCGUUAACUAACAAACAUGUAUUGAGUGCCUAUUAUUUGCCAGGCCCACUUGAAGACCAACAUGGUCCGUGCCCUCAAGGGGUUUACAGUUUAGUGUGGGGAGACAGGUAGUGAAUGUUCAGGCAAGCAAGCACACUUGAUCUUUGUUACUCACCAUAGCUAUGUCCUAUAAAACUACUGUAGGCUGGGUGCAGUGGCUCACGCCUGUAAUCCCAGCAAUUUGGGAGGCCGAGGCGGGGCAGACCAC